ACAAGCGGCGGAGCAUGUGGAUUAAUUCGAUGCAACGCGAAGAACCUUACCUGGGUUUGACAUACACCGGAAAACCGUAGAGAUACGGUCCCCCUUGUGGUCGGUGUACAGGUGGUGCAUGGCUGUCGUCAGCUCGUGUCGUGAGAUGUUGGGUUAAGUCCCGCAACGAGCGCAACCCUUGUCUUAUGUUGCCAGCACGUGAUGGUGGGGACUCGUAAGAGACUGCCGGGGUCAACUCGGAGGAAGGUGGGGACGACGUCAAGUCAUCAUGCCCCUUAUGUCCAGGGCUUCACACAUGCUACAAUGGCCAGUACAGAGGGCUGCGAGACCGUGAGGUGGAGCGAAUCCCUUAAAGCUGGUCUCAGUUCGGAUCGGGGUCUGCAACUCGACCCCGUGAAGUCGGAGUCGCUAGUAAUCGCAGAUCAGCAACGCUGCGGUGAAUACGUUCCCGGGCCUU
rnacentral:rRNA from 1 species